rnacentral:lncRNA from 10 species
UCUAGUCAGUCCCAGUGAGAUGAACUGGGUAUCUCAGUUGGAAAUGCAGAAAUCACCCACAUUCCUCGGGACUCUUUCUGAGAUCUGGCUCCAGUACUAACAGCAAAGGGAACUUGGGCAAGUUACAGACUCUCUGUGCCUUGGUUUUGUCAUCAGCAAAACAGAAUCAUCCCAUAAACUGUAAGGUCCGUGGUAUCAGAGGGUCCCCAGUCUGACUGCACAUCUAAGUCGUUAACAAACACAUUCCAGGCCCCAACUGAGCGCACUGAAUCAGAAUCCCUGCAAGGAGGACAAUGAUCUUGUAUUUGCACUGACCUUCCAGAUGUUUCUUACUCUGAUCAACUUGGGGGUAGGAACCAUUGAGCUGCAUCACAUCAUUCCAAAGCCCAAACACAGAAGCAGAACAAGAAUAUAUUCAAUGCAUUCUCUAAAGUGGAGAAAACUGUUGAGGGAACCUAGAAGUGAAGGAAACCUGGCUUGCUGGGCUCCAUCUUAACUUUAUCCUGAGUACGGCAGAGACAGGAGCACUUUGGGACACAUGCCUGAGGUAGUGACAGUCCAACAUUGAAACAGUGGAAGCCCUAGUUUCAAAUUCAAACUUGCUUUGAGUAGAAAUUAAGUUUACAUCUUUUUGCAUAGCAACAGGGCCAGUUUUCUCCAAGCUGCUCAAUUUACAAGAAAAGAAAUCAUAUGGCUAAGAAUUCAAACUUCAGCAGACAUGGGUAAACAAGGAACUCUUACAAAUCUAUUCUAGCAACCUAACAAGAAACCAGAAAUUUAGCAAGUUCUUUCCCGCUCAGGACAAUUGUGUUCACUAGAUCAGAGGCACUGAGACAUGAAGAAAAGACCCGCUAAAAAGGGAAAGCCUUCCUUCCUGCCCUAGGACAUCCCUGCCAACUUCAGGGAGGUGGGAACCCAGCUGCGCUCUCUACAGUAUGGGUUACUUUUGUGUCUGGAAGGUGUCUGACAUCCUGAGACCUGG